AAGCCAAACGGAGGGCGGGAGAGAGGAAGCGGCAGCUGGCGCCUCUCGGCAACUCUAACCCUCUGAUAGAGAUCGCCAAGAUUGGUAUCCAUAGAGCUUGCUGUGGUUUGAAUGUAUCCCCCAAAGUUCAUGUGUUGGAAACUAUUCUUAAUGCAAAAGUGUUAAGAGGAAACAUUUGGAAACCCCUUGGAGGAGAUCUGCCACAUGGCCUCCAGUGAACUGUAGACUCCUGCAUAGCCUUCCAAAGUUCUUCAUUUGGUGAAUAUUAUGAGAAAUGACACGUAUGACUUUCUCCCAAAUACGUGGCUUAAACCCAAAGUACAGUGAAAUCAGAACUGACCACACAGAGUAAUUGGGGCAAGGGAGUUAUUUGUGACACAAAGCCCUCAUCACUUUAUAAAAGUACUUGCUACUGAUUACAUUGAAAACCAGUCUUCCUGAGUAAAACAUGUUUUUUGUUUUGUAUCGUUUUUGUUUUUGUUUUUUUGAGACAGAGUCUCACUCUUUGACCCAGGCUGGAGUGCAGUGGUGCGAACUUGGCUCUCCGCAACCUCUGCCUUCUGGGUUCAAGCGAUUCUCUUGCCUCAGCCUCCUGAGUAGCUGGGAUUACAGGUGCCCGUCACCACGCCAGGCUAAUUUUUUUGUAUUUUUAGUAGAGGCGAGGUUUUGCCAUGUUGGCCAGGUUGAUCUUGAACUCCUGACCUCAGAUGAUCCACAUGCCUGGGCCUCCCAAAGUGCUGGGGUUAGAGGCAUUAAGGGAGGAGACCACCCCUCAUAUUGUCUUAUGCCCAAUUUCUGCCUCCAAAGAAAGAAAAAGUAAAAACUGAAAGGCAGAAAUGAAAUCCACAAGCAGACAGCCCGGUGCCACACCCUGGGCAGAUCGACCCCUGACCUAAUCGGUUAUGUUAUCGAUUACAGACAUUGGAUAGAAAAGCACUGUGAAAAUCCCUAUCCUGUUUUGUUCAGAUCGAAUUACCGGUGCAUGCAGCCCCCAGACACGUACCCUCUGCUUGCUCAAUCGAUCACGACCCUCUCACACGCACCCCCUUAGAGUUGUGAGCCCUUAAAAGGGACAGGAAUUGCUCACUCGGGGAGCUUGGCUCUUGAGACAGGAGUCUUGCCAAUGCCCCCAGCCGAAUAAACCCCUUCCUUCUUUAA
rnacentral:lncRNA from 1 species